rnacentral:rRNA from 1 species
GAGUUUGAUCAUGGCUCAGAUUGAACGCUGGCGGCAUGCUUUACACAUGCAAGUCGAGCGCGAAAGCCCUUCGGGGUGAGUAGAGCGGCGGACGGGUGAGUAACGCGUAGGAAUCUACCUGGUAGUGGGGGAUAACUUGGGGAAACUCAAGCUAAUACUGCAUACGCCCUAAGGGGGAAAGCGGGGGAUCUUCGGACCUCGCGCGAUUGGAGCGGCCGAUGUCGGAUUAGCUAGUAGGUGAGGUAAAGGCUCACCUAGGCGACGAUCCGUAGCGGGUCUGAGAGGAUGAUCCGCCACACUGGGACUGAGACACGGCCCAGACUCCUACGGGAGGCAGCAGUGGGGAAUUUUGGACAAUGGGCGCAAGCCUGAUCCAGCCAUGCCGCGUGAGUGAAGAAGGCCUUCGGGUUGUAAAGCUCUUUCGGCCGGGAAGAAAUCGUGUUCUCUAACAUAGGACAUGGAUGACGGUACCGGACUAAGAAGCACCGGCUAACUACGUGC